rnacentral:piRNA from 1 species
UGGCAGUCUUGUCUUCAGUCGUCAUGGAAAUC